rnacentral:lncRNA from 1 species
GUAAAUUUAUACCGGGCCCCUGGCCUUUGGGAGUUUACAAAGCAAAGGGCCGGGCCUACCUAACUCAAUGACAAGACUGACCUGCAGAGCACUAGUAAAAUAAAAGGGCAGCGAAAGGUGUGGAGGGGAAGAGAGCAAUGCCCCCUGGCGAGACCUGGGAAUUGCUGUCGUGGAAGAGCAAUUUCAAAACACAGUCUACACAAAGCUUGUCAUUAGUACACAGCACUGAAGGUCAUCCCUUCCUCCAAUUCUGAUGCUUAAGACCUUCGAGGGCAGGAGGGCCAGUGUCUGCGGUCUCUCUGUAAGGCCAAGGCCAAGCACUGGACAUGGCUACAAAUGCUUUUUUACAAAUACUUAUUGAGUGCCUGGCACCUAGUGGUGGUAAGUGCAGAUCACAAGUACGGGAGGCAGACGAGCGCACAGGCAAGCACAACAGACCGCCCCAUCUGGGGAGGACCCGGGCCUGGCACCCUACACUGGCAGGUCGAACAGGCUCCUGGCGCCAAGACAUGUGUGCAUCCAUGUGCACACGUGUCAGGAGGAUGCAGGGGCUGUGAGACACCAGCGACAAGCCCAUGAGGGCCAAGACCGGGGUGAGACGGGGAAAUCUGCCGUGGACAGGCCCCCUUCUCCUCUGGGGACAGCGUACCUGGGAACCAGGUUGUGAUGUGAAUCCUGUUUUCCCCAGGACAGCCCUCUGGUUCACACUGGGGUUUGCAGUCAAUCCCAGACAAGCCAGAGGAACAAAGAUACCACAACUACUGACCUUGAUAACCACUUCGACAGCCAGAGAGAGCUCCAGGCCCCCUCACCAGAGCCCAGAUGGAAGGGCUGUCUGGCAGGGACCAGGGUCCCAACACACUGUGAAGUGUACACAUGGCCCAGAAUAUCCGAUCACUCUGUGCCCCUGCACUGUAAUGUUUCCAAACCCCAGACCGGGAGGAAAAGACAGCCAUGCGGCAUGGGAGCCGAGAGGGCUGGGCACGGAAGGUUGGAGAGGCCCCGUGUCAUAGGGUCUGCAGCGAGGCUUUCUCUCUCUGCUUCUCCAGCCAGCUCCCUGCGAGCCGACAGCUUCCACCCGUCCCUUGCGCGGCUUCUCACUGGCUGCCGGGCCCCUGGUUUGCAGAUCACAGCUGGCAAAGAUGGUGCUAAGGGUGCUGAAGAAUGUUUUGAAGGGCAUCCCACCAUCUGCACGCCCACCUUCCUUCUCAGCUUCUCCCUUCUGGCUGGGAACCCAGGCAGGUGAAGCCUGGCUGCCGAAGGAGAGCGCAGAGACCACCCGGCACCGGGCUCUUUGCCUUUCUGGAUUUUUCCCAGCGCAAGCAUUCUGCCAUGUGGCCGCAUGGCCUUCAUAUUCAUCAUCUUAACGGAUGCGUCGCGGUCCUUUGACUGGACGUGCUCUCGUU